AACGAACGCUGGCGGCAGGCCUAACACAUGCAAGUCGAGCGAACCCUUCGGGGUUAGCGGCGGACGGGUUAGUAACGCGUGGGAACAUACCCUUUGGUACGGAAUAGCCUCGGGAAACUGAGAGUAAUACCGUAUGUGCCCUUCGGGGGAAAGGAUUUAUCGCCAAAGGAUUGGCCCGCGUUGGAUUAGGUAGUUGGUGGGGUAAGUGGCCUACCAAGCCUACGAUCCAUAGCUGGUUUGAGAGGAUGAUCAGCAACACUGGGGACUGAGACACGGCCCACGACUCCUACGGGAGGGCAGCAGUGGGGGAAUCUUAGACAAUGGGCGCAAGCCUGAUCUAGCCAUGCCGCGUGGACGAUGAAGGCCUUAGGGUUGUAAAGUCCUUUCAGCUGGGAAGAUAAUGACGGUACCAGCAGAAGAAGCCCC
rnacentral:rRNA from 1 species